rnacentral:lncRNA from 1 species
UGUUCAAUAAACUUUAAUUUUAUGAGUGUGAUUGUAUAUGUAGUAUUAAUAGAGUUAACUUUUUGGUGAAAAAGGUUUUUACUGCCAGUUCAGCUGAUAAUUCACCAGUCUCAAUUGGUUGUCUUAGUGGAAAUACAUGUAAGAUUGACUUUAAUUUUGUUUCUUAUUUUAUUCAUACAUUUUUUCUCUCAGUUAAGCUGAUAUAUUUCCUCUUGUUUCUUUCGAUUAAUUUACUUUCGGUUCCUAUGGUAUUUAUUUACCAAUCAAAACUUAUAUGUAUAUAUAUCAUUCACCACCAAAUCACCAAUGAUGUCGAAAAGAAAGAAAACAAAAAAGUUGCAAAAAAAAAAAAGAAAGAAAACAAAAAGCAACCAUAUAUAGUACCACUGUUGAUUGUAGUGCAUCCACACCAAUAAAUGUUCGCUAGCUAAUUUAAUCAUUACAAAAUAAUUAUUAUAUUUUUCACGUACCACAUGAUGGUAUUGACGUAUCUAGCAAUUUACUCGAAAGCUUAAUCACUACACAUGUUCACGUGGGAAGCCCGUCACUUAAUUUGGUCCGUUCUUAGAGUUGAUGGAUUCAUAUGACUUUAUUAUAUGAUAACCCUGCAAUUCGUAUUACUAGUUUAUAGAAACUUCAAAGAGAUCUUUACAAAAACAUACUGUUACGCUGUAAAUCUUAUAAUACAGCUGGUCACAUGCAUGCAUAAAUUAGAUAACUAAACAAAGAAAGAAGAGCAUAUAUAUAUGGGCAAUUAUCUCAAAUAUGCAUUUUUAAGUUUUUAUCACAAAAUAGCUCUAAAAAUGAUUAAAAUAACUUCUUUUUUUUUGUUUUGAUAACUUUCAUAUUUUUUUAUUUUUUAAAUAACUCUAAACUCUAAGCCUAGAAUGGUUAUUUUUAUCUUUAAAUAAUAUUUAUUUUGGUUAUUUUUUUAUUGAGGGACAUUUUUAUUCUUAAAAAUGACUAUCAUAGUGAAUUUUUCUAUAUAUAUUUGGUGUGAGAAAAACAUAUAUAUUCUGUGAUAUUACUAAUUAAGUUUUGAUUGGUUAGCAUUAGUAACUGAGAGUAACUAGAUUCGCUACUGAAUACAGCGUACCACUUUUACUCAGUUCAAAACUACUUUAAAAGAUAAAAGAACAGCAGAAUCUAACGUAUUUCCGUUUAGUAUGAAAUCUAUAAAAAAAACUUGCGAAAUCUAAAAGAAAAAGAAAAAGCAGAAAGUUUGAAGAUUCAGAGAAAGUUAGCAAGGAGACAGACAGGGCGAGUGAGAGCCACGUGAGGUGUGUAAAAGAGCAAAUUAAAAACCGCCAGAUUUUCACGUGGGAAGUCACGUGAUGGAGCAUACACGUGUCAGCCUCAAAAGAGAAAUAAUAGAGGGAAGAUAAUUGGUCCCACCUUCUCACCGAACACCAAUCAUUUGAUUCCCGCUAAGUUACAUUUCUGCCCCUCACCCGAAGG